UACGUAGGGACCAAGCGUUGUUCGGAUUUACUGGGCGUAAAGCGCACGCAGGCGGUUUGUUAAGUCGGAUGUGAAAUCCCUCGGCUCAACUGAGGAAGUGCACCCGAAACUGGCAGGCUUGAGUACUAAAGAGGGUCGCGGAAUUCCCGGUGUAGAGGUGAAAUUCGUAGAUAUCGGGAGGAACACCGGUGGCGAAGGCGGCGACCUGGGUAGAUACUGACGCUGAGGAGCGAAAGCGUGGGGAGCGAACAGG
rnacentral:rRNA from 1 species